UCAAGCGUCUCUAAGGGCAUUUGGUGGAUGCCUUGGCGUUGAGAGGCGAUGAAGGACGUGACACGCUGCGAUAAGCCAUGGGGAGCUGCGAGUAAGCUUUGAUCCGUGGAUUUCCGAAUGGGGAAACCCGACCGUAAGGUCACCCGCAAGGGAGCGAACCCGGGGAACUGAAAUAUCUAAGUACCCGGAGGAAAGGACAUCAACCGAGACUCUGCUAGUAGUGACGAGCGAACGCAGACCAGGCCAGUGGCUUGGGAGAAGACAACCAGAAGCGUCUGGAAAGACGCGCCAUAGUGGGUGAUAGCCCCGUAUGGGUAAUGCUUUUCCCAAGUCCUUGAGUAGGGCGGGACACGUGAAAUCCUGUCUGAACAUGGGGGGACCACCCUCCAAGCCUAAGUACUCCUCAACGACCGAUAGCGAACAAGUACCGUGAGGGAAAGGUGAAAAGCACCCCGAUGAGGGGAGUGAAAUAGACCUGAAACCGAAUGCCUACAAUCAGUCGGAGCCAUCUUGAGUGGUGACGGCGUACCUUUUGUAUAAUGGGUCAGCGAGUUACUUUGACGAGCAAGCCUAAGCCGUUAGGCGUAAGCGAAGCGAAAGCGAGUCUGAAUAGGGCGUAUAGUUCGUUUGAGUAGACCCGAAACCGGGUGAUCUAGCCAUGGGCAGGUUGAAGGUACGGUAACACGUACUGAAGGACCGAACCCACGUCUGUUGAAAAAGACGGGGAUGACCUGUGGCUAGGGGUGAAAGGCCAAUCAAACCCGGAGAUAGCUGGUUCUUUGCGAAAACUAUUUAGGUAGUGCGUCAGUUAUAACUGUCGGGGGUAGAGCACUGGAUGGGCUAGGGGGGCGCGAGCCUUACCAAACCUAACCAAACUCCGAAUACCGAUAAGUACAGCAUGGCAGACAGACUAUGGGUGCUAAGGUCCAUAGUCGAGAGGGAAACAGCCCAGACCUCCAGCUAAGGUCCCUAAAUUGUGGCUAAGUGGGAAAGGAUGUGGGAAGGCCAAGACAGCCAGGAGGUUGGCUUAGAAGCAGCCAUCCUUUAAAGAAAGCGUAACAGCUCACUGGUCUAGACAAGCCGGCCUGCGCCGAAGAUGUAACGGGGCUAAAGCCACAUACCGAAGCUGAGGACGUGAUUUAUCACGUGGUAGCAGAGCGUUCUGUAGGCCUGUGAAGCGUAACCGCGAGGUUGCGUGGAGGUAUCAGAAGUGAGAAUGCUGACAUGAGUAGCGAUAAAGAGUGUGAGAAACACUCUCGCCGAAAGCCCAAGGGUUCCUGCGCAAGGCUAAUCCGCGCAGGGUGAGUCGGCCCCUAAGACGAGGGCGAAAGCCGUAGUCGAUGGGAAUCAGGUUAAUAUUCCUGAACCCGAUGGUAGUGACGGAUGACGUAAGUUGUACAUGCUUAUCGGAUUGUGUGUGCAGCGAAGUUGUCCCAGGAAAUAGCUCCAUCAUUAAGACCGUACCCGAAACCGACACAGGUGGGCAGGUAGAGAAUACCGAGGCGCUUGAGAGAACGAUGUUGAAGGAACUCGGCAAAUUGCCCCCGUAACUUCGGGAGAAGGGGGACCUCCAUGAAGGCAACUUUUUGGAGGUGGCACAGACCAGGGGGUGGCGACUGUUUAUUAAAAACACAGGGCUCUGCGAAGUAGUUAAUACGACGUAUAGGGUCUGACGCCUGCCCGGUGCCGGAAGGUUAAGAGGAGGUGUGAGAGCUCCGAAUUGAAGCCCCGGUAAACGGCGGCCGUAACUAUAACGGUCCUAAGGUAGCGAAAUUCCUUGUCGGGUAAGUUCCGACCUGCACGAAUGGCGUAACGACUUCCCCGCUGUCUCCAACAUCGACUCAGCGAAAUUGAAUUCUCCGUGAAGAUGCGGAGUACCCGCGGUCAGACGGAAAGACCCCGUGCACCUUUACUACAACUUUGCAGUGGCAAUAGAGUGGAGAUGUGCAGGAUAGGUGGGAGCCUUUGAAGCGGUAGCGCCAGUUACCGUGGAGGCGUCCUUGAGAUACCACCCUUCUGCAUUCUAUUGUCUAACCGCGGCCAGUGAACCCUGGUCCGGGACCCUGCAUGGUGGGUAGUUUGACUGGGGCGGUCGCCUCCCAAA
rnacentral:rRNA from 1 species